rnacentral:lncRNA from 1 species
CUCUCUCAAAAAGAGACAAAGGAAGAAACGUCCUCUCAUGCUUCAGUUGUCUACAGUAUUGGCCUGCAAUACCUGGAUAUGUGGCAGCCACUUUGAUACCAUGAGGUGAGCUGGCUGGCACGUGGAGGGUAGUCAGGCAGAAAUAAAAAAAAAAAAAGAAAGAAAGAAAAAAGAAAAUCCAGGCUCUCAAUAAUACCACUGAGUCUCUAAAUUGACUAAUCCCAGAGCCUCUCCCGCUGGCCUUCUUGCCAUGUGAAAUAAGUGUCCCUUGUUAUUUAAGCCAGUUCAGCAGGGCUCCCAGGUUCUUCUAACCAAUGUUCAUUUCCUCACUGGAAAACAAUUUGAAAGUAAGGGCCUUGGCUUCCUCGCUUCUAGCUCACUAGCACCCAUGGCCAAGCCUGGCUUAUUGUGGAUGCUCAGCAGAUGGACCAGGUGGACAGAUUCACAGUGCUCACCUUCUCUCACAGCAUCUUUUUUGUUGUAGCAUCUGCUCUUCUAGUUUGCAUUUUAUCCUGAUCAGAGGUCACUGAAGAAGCAUAAAGUCUCAGACUCAGGAGACCUGCAUGAAGCCUCCAUGUGAACACAGACCUGAACUAUGCCUGGGGCUGCCAGAGAACCCAUCAUCUUUCUCACAAAGAUCUCAGAAAGAGCCUCUUGCCUAGAACUCUGCCCCUCCCCUGGGGAUGAGGCAUUCAUGCCUCCUUGGGGUCCUUUGCGCUCACCAUGGGGCGGUUACAGACGCUUUCCUGGCCUGUCAGGCCCUCCCUGAGCCGUGAGAGGCAGCUAGCCCACCCCAGCCCAGCUCCCACUCACGAGAAAGCCAGUGCGGGUAAGGAGCUGCUGGUCCUGACCAGCGCUGAUGGCGGGGUGGGAGGCAAGGAGCAGCCGCCAAGCCAAGUCCUUCACCCGGCCUCUUCAGGAGCUUGGCUGCCUACCCAUCUUAUAAGGAAAUAGACACAGGGUCAGAAAGGACUUCCCUGACCUAGCAGGACGAGGCCUGGGUCGGGGCCAGCAGGUGGAUGGUGAGCAUCUCUGGUCAGGAAAGGUGGUCAAUAAAUUUCACCUGUUAAAACACUCCUGUAGGAGUUCCCGUUGUGGCGCAGUGGGUAGCGAAUCCGACUAGGAACCAUGGGGUUGAGGGUUCGAUCCCUGGCCUUGUUCAGUGGGUUAAGGAUCCGGUGUUGCCAUGAGCUGUGGUGUCGGCUGCAAACACAGCUCGCAUCCUGCAUUGCUCUGGCUCUGGUGUAGGGCAGUGGCUACAGCUCCAUUUAGACUCCUAGUCUGGGAACUUCCAUAUGCCAUGAGUGUGGCCCUAGAAAAGACCAAAACCAAACCAAAACAAAACCAAAAACACUCCUGUAGCAUGUAUCAUUUGCCCUUUGGAAUUAUCACCUUCUUUAAACCCCACGACAACCCUAAGAGCAAAGUGCCAUCAUUAUGCCCAUUUUACUAAUGAGGAGGUUGAGGCACAGAGAAGUUAAGUAUCUAGCCUGAGGUUGCCCAGCCAGUAAAUGGCAGAGUCCAGAUUUGAACUGAGGCUGCAAAGUUAUGCUCGGAACUAAUAUGCAACCCUACCUCCCCAAGAUAUAAACAUAAGCACAUUGCCUGAGCACCACAAGGGUACUAGGCUCUGUUACGGGGUCCUGCCAGGAGCCCACCACUUGGGAGCCCUGCCUAUAACUUUGCCUUAGCUCCACUGUAGUUAGGGCGGUUAGUGUGAUCAGGGCUACCUUGUGAAAGUACCGAGAGAAGUGGGAGGGCAGGAGGGAGAAGGAGGAAUUCCAUCUAAUGGCAGCAUCCACUGUGUAUUGCGCCAGGUCUUUUCAAUUCCUGGAUUGCACUGAAUCCUUGUAGAAGAAGUUCGUAAGGAAAAGAAAGAUCAGAGUAGUCAAGUCUCCAAGGAUGCACAGGUAGCCACUGGCCCAACCCACAUCUCUCUGAUAGGAAGGCCAGCUGGCUUUCCACUCUACCAAGAAUGCAUGAGGAGCAUGGCAAUUAAGGAAAUGGGGCUAAGUUAGGAGUCCAAUGCAGGCCUUUCUGAUGCCUCCAGGAGCAAUGGCCAAGGCUUGGGGUGUUUCUUGGCCCUGCUGUAGUCAGGACAGCAGACCCCCAGCCAGGGCUCCCUUGCGUGGGAAGGAGAGAAGGGAAGUCCACACUCUUGUCCCACCUGGCAGGGAGGACCUGGCUGUGAGCACUCAGGGCACCUGAGGCCGGCUGACCCCUGGUCAGCUUCAGGAGACCGAGCCAGGUGCAGGUGUCAGGCUGGGUGGGCAGGACGGGGGGUCCUCUGCUUUCAUUUCAGGGAUCCCUCCCACUGCCCAGCCCCAGCUCUUGGUGUAAACAAAGCUGUGGAGAUCCUCUGUGCAAUCCAGCUCUUCUGACUUCAAAAAAGACAAGACAGUCAAGAUUGUGUCCCCAUGUGUGUGCUAUUUUCUGAAAAGCAGAGGCAGACGAAGCGGCCCUGCCAAUUUCUAUUUUGCCCUGGGCCCCUUAACCACAGCUCCAGCUGGGGGUGGGGUGGGGCGUAUAGGAGAUGGGUCGCUGCACUGUGUGACUGGGGUGGCAGGGUUGGCAGCCCAGCCUGGGUUGCCGACCCCCUAAUCCCCCACCAGUGGAAUGUGCUUGAUUCCAGGAGGCUAAGGUUUGGAGGGUGGGGUGGGGGUGCAGAAGGCCCCCUGAAACAGCCUGUGGCCCUGCUGUUUGAUGGUUCUUGAUGGUUCUUGAUGGAUGAGCUCCCGACCCUCCUGGCGCGCCCCCUCCCUCUGUUGAGGUCUGGCUUGUGCGAGAAAGCCUGUCGGUGUUGGGACAUGUUGGCCCCAGGGCCUACAGCGGGACGGAGACCUCUGAGGGAUGCCUGCUGUCUGGCCCUCUCCUCAGAGGGCUCCUCUAGCCCCAGGCCUAGGGGCUUUGGGGCGCUUCCCUUUCAAAGCUGCAACAUUAUCGCCAUGAAUGCAGCUCGUCUCCCAGAGGCCCUGAAUGUCAGGCGAGAAAGCCUUGGCUACUGAGGAUUCCCGGCUUGAUCAUUCAAGGCCAACAUGGUGUCUGUUGAGUAGGGGUUUUGCCCAUGGGAUGUGGGGGCUGUGAGGACCUCUCUGGGACUGCGCUGAGUUCAGCCAUGGACCUCUGGGGAGAUGUGGCUCCUGCCUGGGUCCUUAACCUACUGUGCUAUAAGAGGACUCCUCAUUUUAAUGAUACAUUUCAUUUAAGCCUGACAUCUAAACCUUUGUUUCAACAUGAGUCAAUGUAAAAGAAGUACUGAUGUAUUUUGCAGUUUGCUGUAUUAAGUUUUUGGAAGUCAUGGGUGUCUUACACUUGCAGCAAAAAGCCAAUUCGCACCCUUCCAGUACUCAAUAGCCACAUGUGGUUAGCAGACAGCAUAUUGGACAGGGCAGCCCCAGACCACGUGGCUUGGGCUAUAGUGACAGCAUCUUCAUUUCAAGUGGAGAGAAAAAACAGGAUGGCUCCUGAGCAGGAGACAUGCCCUGGGUGAGGUUUAGGCAGGUGAAUCUGAAGGCAGUAUUCUUGAGAGACAGGAGGUGGAGGGGGUGAACACUGGAGGCAAGAAAUUCACUCAGGAGGUCCCACGACAAUCACUGUGAAUAUAAUUAGCCUUCAAAUCAUGGGCAGAGCCCUUCUCAUUUAAUCCUCCUUCAACCUGGUGAAAUACUGAGAGAAGAUACUACUAGUGUCCCCACCUAAUAGAUAAAGAAACUGAGGCUCGGAGGAAUUAACCGAUUUGGUGAAAGGGCACAAGUUGGAAAAACAAACCCACACUCUCUGUAUCACACUCUGAACUCUUGCUACUAUGCCAUGCUCAGGGGCCCAGGAAAAUUGGGGCCCCAAAGGAGACAGAGAUGACCGCAGAAGACCCCCUGGAGGGGUUCAUACUCAAACAUUAAUGUGGGGCAUCUGGUCCAACUGACCUGAAGUGCCCAGGCUGGGAUUAGCCAGGCCUGAGUUCAGUUCCCAGCGGGCCACUGACCCACUGUUUACUUUGGACACUUGACUUAAUCUCUGGUUUCUCAGCUAUAAGACACCUGCACACAAGGGGUUUGUAGGGAAUGAAUGAGAUCAUUAGGGUCCAGAGAGAUGGAGCCCUUGGUCAGUCCCUGAAGUCUACAUUAAGGCACUUGUGAUGGAACGUGAUGGAGAGAAUGUGAGAAAGAAAAAAUGUGUGUGUGUGUGUGUGUGUCUGUGUAUAUAUAUAUAUAUAUAUGUAUGUAUGACUGGGUCACUUUGCUGGACAGCAGAAAAUGACAGAACACUGUACAUCAGCUAGAAUAAACGUAAACAAAUUUAGCCAACCCACUGCUCCAUGUGCUGACCCUCAAGCCUCCCCACCUCCAUGAUUAAGCAGGAAAGUAAGCUGCUCCUGCAACUGCCUCCGGCCUCCCACUGCCUCUGCCUUCCUCCAGACCCCUCUCCUUCCAAGGAUGCCCACAUGCAGGCCCUGCUCCAGGGGACCCCAGGAGACACUUCUCCCAUCUGGCUCAGGGCUCCCUAGAAACUCUGCUGAGCCCCACAAAGGCUUAAUGACCAUGGGGCUCACUUAGCAAGGGGAAAAGCCAGAGCUUUGCCCUGGCUCUGCUCCUGAUCUAAUUCCCAUGGGGUUCAUCGGGAAUUCCUUUGCACUCAGGGCUACUGGUGGGGGUCCAGCUUCCCGAGGACCUGGGGACACAUUAGUCAGUGAUAAGUGGGGCUUUCCACCCCACUUAUCACCUGUUGACAAUACACUGGCUCUCCUCAGACCAAACUCUGCUCCCCUGACCUUGCUCCUGGCUGUUCUGGCUAUAGGAGACAAUUUACAAUGGACUCUCUGCGGUGGGGGGAGGGCAGUUUCCUUGGUGCCUCCUCCCCACCUCCCCCUCACCAUCCCCCCCCCGCCACCCCCCACCCUGGGCAACAUCUCCUCCACCUGGUGGGUCCUGGAAGGAGCCACAGAUGCUUGUUUUUCUCAGCUCAUUGCAGCCUCUGAAUUCAGAGAUGUCAUAAUUUCUGUCUGCUCAGCUUUAACUGAAGGGGCUGGGGAGAAAAUCAGAGGCAGUGGGAUUACGUUUCUGGCUUUGGGGACAGGAGGUGACCAGGGUUUUGUGGCUGUCCGAAACAGAAGCCAUCAGAGGUGUUGUACUUAUCUGGGCAAGACCCUCUUGGAGUCAAAAAGACAGGAUGACAGAGCAGCUGCCGGAGGGGGUGUGAGACUGCAGCCUGGACUUAGCUCCCCUCUGCCGCGGUCAGCGCGGGCAAGCGUGUCUCUGCAGCUCAGUACACUGUGCAGAAAACCGGGGUGCUGCCGCCUGUCCUGCCUCCAGUCAGGUGGUUGUGAGCACAGAAUGAGAAACUGUCGUGAAGGUGCUCGAAGAGGAGGCAAUUUUGUUUUGCCCUCUGCUCAGAUUCCAAGUGACGAGGCUUUCGGCACAAAUGGCUCUCCUGAUGCAGGCAGUUUAUAAUAGCUACAAGUCAACUUUCUCAGGCGUUUGCACUGUGGCUGAGUGGGUUAAGCAGCUGACAUAAGGUCUGUGAGAAUGCGGGUUCAAUCCCGGGCCUUGCUCAGUGGGUUAAGGAGCUGGCGUUGCCGCAAGCCACAGCGUAGGUCACAGACGUGGCUCGGAUCUGGUGUUGCCGUGGCAUUGGCCAGCAGCUGCAGCUUCAACUUAACCUCUAGUCUGGGAACUUCCAUAUGCCACAAGUGCGGCCCUUCCUAGUCAAGAAAAAAAAGUCAACUUUCAAAUAGCUGGGCUUCUGAACUGGCAGGCAGGUGGAAUACUUGGGGGGUGUGACUAGAUGGAGUCCAUUUCAAGGCAAUAGAUAUGUAAUAAGCACCUAACUCGUACCAACCUCUGAGCUGGAUGCUAGGAAGAUACAGGGAUGAAAGACACAUCUCCUGCUCCCGGGCUGGUGGACAGAGACUGGGGCUACUUGUGAUAAGCACUGAGAAGGGGCACCAGGGCUGAGUUCCAAUCAGCCUGGGUGUCAGGGGCCCAAGGGGGUGUAACCAGAGAUGAGACUUGAAUGAGUUAGUCAGGCUUGAGGCAGAAGGAAGGGUGUUUGAAGCACAGGGAACAAUGCAUGCAAAGGCCAGAGGACACAAAAGCCCUUGUGAGAAGAAUAUAAUUACUCUAGUUAGGAUGGGGGAGGUGGCCAGACAUAUGGCCAGUGAAGAGGGCUCUGUCUGCCAAGAUCAGACUUUGUCACCGUGUUCUUUAGGCACCAGGGAGCUAUCGAAAGGCUGAACACACGGACUUCCCAUCGUGGCACAGCAGAAACGAAUCCGACUAGAAACCAUGAGGUUGUGGGUUCGAUCCCUGGCCUCGCUCAGUGAGUUAAGGAUCCGGCGUUGCCCUGAGCUGUGGUGUAGGUCGCAGAUGCGGCUUGGAUCUGGCAUUACUGUGGCUGUGGUGUAGGCUGGCAGCUGUAGUUCCGGUUAGACCCCUGGCCUGGGAACCUCCGUAUGCCG